rnacentral:rRNA from 1 species
AUUGAACGCUGGCGGCAUGCUUUACACAUGCAAGUCGAACGGACCUAGGGGCUUGCUCCUAGGUUAGUGGCGAACGGGUGAGUAAUGCAUCGGAACGUACCGUGUAAUGGGGGAUAACGCAGCGAAAGUUGUGCUAAUACCGCAUACGAUCUACGGAUGAAAGCAGGGGAUCGCAAGACCUUGCGUUAUACGAGCGGCCGAUGUCGGAUUAGCUAGUUGGUAGGGUAAAGGCCUACCAAGGCAACGAUCCGUAGCGGGUCUGAGAGGAUGAUCCGCCACACUGGGACUGAGACACGGCCCAGACUCCUACGGGAGGCAGCAGUGGGGAAUUUUGGACAAUGGGCGCAAGCCUGAUCCAGCCAUGCCGCGUGAGUGAAGAAGGC